GACGAACGCUGGCGGCAGGCUUAACACAUGCAAGUCGAACGCACCGCAAGGUGAGUGGCAGACGGGUGAGUAACGCGUGGGAACGUACACUUCGGUUCGGAAUAGCGUCCGGGAAACUGGAAUUAAUACCGGAUACGCCCUUAGGGGGAAAGAUUCAUCGCCGAAGGAUCGGCCCGCGUCAGAUUAGGUAGUUGGUAGGGUAACGGCCUACCAAGCCGAUGAUCUGUAGGUGGUCUGAGAGGANGAUCACCCACACUGGGACUGAGACACGGCCCAGACUCCUACGGGAGGCAGCAGUGGGGAAUAUUGGACAAUGGGCGCAAGCCUGAUCCAGCCAUGCCGCGUGGAUGAAGAAGGCCCUAGGGUUGUAAAGUCCUUUCGGC
rnacentral:rRNA from 1 species